rnacentral:rRNA from 1 species
GAUGAACGCUGGCGGCGUGCCUAAUACAUGCAAGUCGAGCGAACAGAUGAGGAGCUUGCUCCUCUGACGUUAGCGGCGGACGGGUGAGUAACACAUGGAUAACCUACCUAUAAGACUGGGAUAACUACGGGAAACCGGAGCUAAUACCGGAUAAUAUAUUAAACCGCAUGGUUCAAUAGUGAAAGACGGUUUUGCUGUCACUUAUAGAUGGAUCCGCGCCGCAUUAGCUAGUUGGUAAGGUAAAGGCUUACCAAGGCAACGAUGCGUAGCCGACCUGAGAGGGUGAUCGGCCACACUGGAACUGAGACACGGUCCAGACUCCUACGGGAGGCAGCAGUAGGGAAUCUUCCGCAAUGGGCGAAAGCCUGACGGAGCAACGCCGCGUGAGUGAUGAAGGUCUUCGGAUCGUAAACCUCUGUUAUUAGGGAAGAACAAAUGUGUAAGUAACUAUGCACGUCUUGACGGUACCUAAUCAGAAAGCCACGGCUAACUACGUG